UUUCUGCUUCAGCCAGCCUAGGAGACACAGGACCUGCUGGCUGCAGAGGUAAAAGCUGGACCUAGGAUGGAGCAGGAUCUGAGGAGCAUCCCGGCCUCGAAGCUUGAUAAGUUCAUAGAGAACCAUCUCCCGGACACCAGCUUCUGUGCUGACCUCAGAGAAGUCAUAGAUGCCCUGUGUGCUCUCCUGAAGGACAGAUCCUUCCGGGGCCCCGUCCGCCGAAUGAGGGCCUCUAAAGGGGUCAAGUGUUCCACGCCCCAGGAAUGAUAAGGUCACAUAGACUAAGUCAAAUGUGACACGGAGGACAGACCAGGACUCGCCUGCUAUGUGACUGGAUUGAUGGACCCUCUCUGGACUCGGUUCCCGGGCUGUCUGUCAAAUCACAUUUCAUGACACUGGGCAAAGGCACCGCGCUCAAGGGCAGGUCAGACGCUGACCUGGUGGUGUUCCUUAACAAUCUCACCAGCUUUGAGGAUCAGUUAAACCAACAGGGAGUGUUGAUUAAGGAAAUUAAGAAACAGCUGUGCGAGGUUCAGCAUGAGAGACGUUGUGGAGUGA
rnacentral:lncRNA from 1 species